CAGGGAUAUGGAGGAAAUGUGCAGAUGUUGUUAAACUGUUCUCAUCUUUGCUCUCCAUGGUGAUUUCCACAGAGUCCUCUUUUUGCAGGUUGUUGGUGAGCUUGAGAGUGUCAAACGACACUGUCUGCUUCAUCCACUGGGCUCCAGGGGCCGGGAUGAAGUCCAUGAGCAGAACAUACUCGGCUGAAGGAUCCAUUCCAGAGAUUCUCACCUGAAAUGUUGGAAACAUCCUCCUA